rnacentral:rRNA from 1 species
AGAGUUUGAUCCUGGCUCAGAACGAACGCUGGCGGCAGGCUUAACACAUGCAAGUCGAGCGCCCCGCAAGGGGAGCGGCAGACGGGUGAGUAACGCGUGGGAACAUACCCUCCGGUUCGGAAUAGCUCAGGGAAACUUGGAUUAAUACCGGAUACGGCCUAGCGGCGAAAGAUUCAUCGCCGGAGGAUUGGCCCCGCGUUCGAUUAGCUAGUUGGUGAGGUAACGGCUCACCAAGGCGACGAUCGAUAGCUGGUCUGAAAGGAUGAUUCAGCCACAUUGGGACUGAGACACGGCCCCAACUCCUACGGGAGGCAGCAGUGGGGAAUAUUGGACAAUGGGCGCAAGCCUGAUCCAGCCAUGCCGCGUGAGUGAUGACGGCCUUAGGGUUGUAAAGCUCUUUCGCUAGGGACGAUAAUGACGGUACCUAGACAAGAAG